UACUUGUAAGGAAAAGAAUCGUGUUUAAUAGGUUCUUACUAUGUCUGUGUGUGUGCGUGUGUGUGCACGUGUGUGUGUGUGUGUGUGUGUGUGUGUGUGUGUGUGCGCGCGCGCGCUCCUGCCCUGUGUGCACAUACAAGGUCAGAGGACACUUUGGAGUUCCUCUGCUUUGUGCUGGUGUGUCAUGCUUGGUGGCAAGCACUUGGGCCACUGGGAACUCACCUGCCUUGUAGAUUUUUGAGAUCACAGGAUAGCUAUUACAGCUUAAAGAGCCAUCUUGUGUACAAGUGCUAGGAUCCUGAAGAAGACAGGAUGUAUGUUUGCUGGACAUUUUCUAAAGUGGGAAUUUUUUGUCUGGGCACGGUGGCUCAUGCCUUUAAUCCCAACACUCAGAAGCAAAAGCAGGAGCGUCUACAGCAGUGUUCUCAACCCUCCUCAUGCUGUGACCCUUUAAUGCCGUUGCUCGUGUUGUGGGGACUAUAACGUUGCUACUGUUAUGAAUUGUAAUGUAAAUAUUUGAUAUGCAGGAUAUUUAAUAUGUGAUUCUUAAGUGACUCAAAGGGAUAUCUGAUCUGUGACCCAAAGGGGUUUUGACCCACAGGUUGAGAACUGCUGAUGUAGAGUUUUCAUAUGCGAACCUUUUAAUGUGAUAAAGCAUCAUAAGAUGACCAUGGUCCUUCUUUUAUACUUUGUUUUGUAGACAUGUCAUUUUGUUUUAUUAAGUAGUAUGAUUGCAUGCAUUCAGUAUGUUUGCAUAUAUGUAGAUACAUGUGUAAGUAUGAUAAAAGAGACCAAAGGGGAAAGGGAAGGGCUGACACCCAAGGUUGUCCUCUGACCUCCACCACAUGCACCCACAUGGGGUGGGGUGGUCUGCAGUGAAUCACAGCCUUCGUAUAAAGUCAGGGUUAAACAGGGACCUGCUCCACACACUUGAUUUUUUGUUUGUUUACUUAUAUUUUAAAUCGCUUGCAAACUGACACUUUUUUGUUUUUAAAAUGUGGGAGGAGAGUGUAUUUAUGUUGCUCCCCCUCAGAUCUGUGGAAAUAUUUUCUGCCUCAGCACACUGUGCCUACCCUUGAAGUAGCGGAAGAGCAGGUAAACCGUGCACGGCAGACCUGCUGACUCCCAGGCUCGGCUCUGCUGCUCAGUGCUGUGGGCCUCUCAUCCACCUUGUGUGCCUUACUUUCCCAACUCUCUAACUUCUCUUAAAGGGAGAACAGUGGGGGGAUCCAUAAGUAGGAAACAUUCCUAACAGAUCUCAUAGCUUGGUAUUGUUAGUAUCAGUUAGUAAUUAAAACUUUUGUUUUGUUUUUUUUUAAAUGUAGAUACUGACAGUGGUACUUACAGUAAGCUACAGACAGUCGUCUUGAGAAGACUGGAUUUCAUAUCCUAAAAAAGUAAAUCUUAUUUCAAAUCUGAAGUGCCAAUUCCCCAAAUUUAAUGAGUAUAGUAAAAAGGAAGCUAACCAUAUUGAUUAAGGUCUAAAAAUCUGCAAAAGGCCAUUUUUAUGGAAAUGAUGACAGAAAUUGUUGGUAAAAUAUUUUGAAAGUUUUAGGCCUCAAGUGAAAUGUAAAGCUUUUUAAUGAAUCAAUUAGUGGGAUACUGAAAGAAGAAGCUU
rnacentral:lncRNA from 1 species